GAGUUUGAUCCUGGCUCAGAACGAACGCUGGCGGCAGGCCUAACACAUGCAAGUCGAGCGCACCUUCGGGUGAGCGGCGGACGGGUUAGUAACGCGUGGGAAUAUGCCCAAAGGUACGGAAUAGCCUCUGGAAACGGAGAGUAAUACCGUAUGUGCCCUUCGGGGGAAAGAUUUAUCGCCUUUGGAUUAGCCCGCGUUGGAUUAGGUAGUUGGUGGGGUAAUGGCCUACCAAGCCUACGAUCCAUAGCUGGUUUGAGAGGAUGAUCAGCAACACUGGGACUGAGACACGGCCCAGACUCCUACGGGAGGCAGCAGUGGGGAAUCUUAGGCAAUGGGGGAAACCCUGAUCUAGCCAUGCCGCGUGAGUGGCGAAGGCCCUAGGGUCGUAAAGCUCUUUCGCCAGGGAUGAUAAUGACAGUACCUGGUAAAGAAACCCCGGCUAACUCCGUGCCAGCAGCCGCGGUAAUACGGAGGGGGUUAGCGUUGUUCGGAAUUACUGGGCGUAAAGCGUACGUAGGCGGAUUAGUCAGUCAGAGGUGAAAUCCCAGGGCUCAACCCUGGAACUGCCUUUGAUACUGCUAGUCUUGAGUUCGAGAGAGGUGAGUGGAAUUCCGAGUGUAGAGGUGAAAUUCGUAGAUAUUCGGAGGAACACCAGUGGCGAAGGCGGCUCACUGGCUCGAUACUGACGCUGAGGUACGAAAGUGUGGGGAGCAAACAGGAUUAGAUACCCUGGUAGUCCACGCCGUAAACGAUGGAUGCUAGCCGUUGGUGAGUUUUCUCAUCAGUGGCGCAGCUAACGCAUUAAGCAUCCCGCCUGGGGAGUACGGUCGCAAGAUUAAAACUCAAAGGAAUUGACGG
rnacentral:rRNA from 1 species